CGCAUGKUSYUYYGGGAAAGMUUYWKCGGUAUGGGAUGGGGUCGCGUCCUAUCAGCUUGAUGGCGGGGUAACGGCCCACCAUGGCUUCGACGGGUAGCCGGCCUGAGAGGGCGACCGGCCACAUUGGGACUGAGAUACGGCCCAGACUCCUACGGGAGGCAGCAGUGGGGAAUAUUGCACAAUGGGCGCAAGCCUGAUGCAGCGACGCCGCGUGCGGGAUGACGGCCUUCGGGUUGUAAACCGCUUUUGACUGGGAGCAAGCCCUUCGGGGUGAGUGUACCUUUCGAAUAAGCACCGGCUAACUACGUGCCAGCAGCCGCGGUAAUACGUAGGGUGCAAGCGUUAUCCGGAAUUAUUGGGCGUAAAGGGCUCGUAGGCGGUUCGUCGCGUCCGGUGUGAAAGUCCAUCGCUUAACGGUGGAUCCGCGCCGGGUACGG
rnacentral:rRNA from 1 species